rnacentral:rRNA from 1 species
UACGUAGGGGGCGAGCGUUGUCCGGAAUUACUGGGCGUAAAGGGCGCCUAGGCGGCCGUUUAAGUCUGCGGUGAAAGGCCGAGGCUCAACCUCGGGAGGUCCGCGGAGACUGGACGGCUGGAGGAUCGGAGAGGAGCGGGGAAUCCCUGGUGUAGCGGUGGAAUGCGCAGAUAUCAGGAGGAACACCGGUGGCGAAGGCGGGAUCCUGGGCCAGUACUGACGCUGAGGAGCGAAAGCGUGGGGAGCAAACAGG